rnacentral:rRNA from 1 species
CCUACGGGAGGCAGCAGUGAGGAAUAUUGGUCAAUGGACGAGAGUCUGAACCAGCCAAGUAGCGUGAAGGAUGACUGCCCUAUGGGUUGUAAACUUCUUUUAUAAAGGAAUAAAACGAGGCACGUGUGCCUUUUUGCAUGUACUUUAUGAAUAAGGAUCGGCUAACUCCGUGCCAGCAGCCGCGGUAAUACGGAGGAUCCGAGCGUUAUCCGGAUUUAUUGGGUUUAAAGGGAGCGUAGAUGGGUUGUUAAGUCAGUUGUGAAAGUUUGCGGCUCAACCGUAAAAUUGCAAUUGAUACUGGCAGUCGUGAGUAGAGUUGAGGUAGGCGGAAUUCGUGGUGUAGCGGUGAAAUGCGUAGAUAUCACGAAGAACCCCGAUGGCGAAGGCAGCUUACUAAACUUUGACUGACAUUGAUGCACGAAAGUGUGGGUAUCAAACAGGAUUAGAUACCCGUGUAGUC